rnacentral:lncRNA from 1 species
AUAAUCUCCUCCUGGUCUUCGCCACAAUAAACAACAAGUCAACAAGCAAAUCGAACAUAAACAAGACGUCACCCCAGCAGCGGCCCGCACCCCAACAUCACGGUCCACAGCUUCCCUUCACCUUCACUCACGAGGACCACACCAAGACUGAGUAAUGGUGGACAUAACAAGGGAACAGGAGAGUCCACAAGUACCUCCUGGCGGGGCGAGAUACAAGCGACGCGACCAGCCAGAUGCUAGUGUGAUAACCCGGCACGUCUGGCCAACCCACUAACGUUAGUGACUUGUCCUCAGUAGGGCUACGUCCUCGCUCACACACGGACGUGCGCUCCGACUCUACCUCCUACUGCCCCUGCCUCGUGGACUCCUACUGUUGCUUCUGGCUAGAUGGGGGCGACGCACCCUCCUCCUAUCCUUCCACGAGUACUUACAUCAGGAGGACUGUCACCCGCAUUCUACUGACGGAGUGGCGUUCACCAGGACGGUGGUGGUGGUCCGCGGAGAUAAUAAUUAUGAUCCAUAACGAACCAAGUUAAUGCCUUACGAGAGAAAAUAAUAACACGUGUGAGUGACAGGUGUUGAGAGCAGUACCUGGUGCAGAGGACAGGUAUUAAUGACAGAUAUUGACAGCCAUACACAUUGUUCAGGGCCUGACAGGUGUUAAGAGUACUUGUGUUUGAUGAGACAGGUGUCAGCCAGUGUGUGUAGUGGACCGUGUGAGUUAGACCAGUGUGUAAUGGACCGCGUGAGCUGGACCACAUGAGCUGGGCCAGGGUGUAGUGGGCCAGCGUGUAGUGGACCACGUGAGUUUGGACCAGGGUUUAGUGGACCACGUGAGCUGGACCAGGGUGAAGUGGGCCAGUGUGUAGUGAGCCACGUGAGCUGGACCAGGGUGUAGUGGACCACGUGAGCUGGACCAGGGUGUAGUGAACCGCGUGAGUUGAGCCGG